UGCGUAACGCGUGGGAAUCUGCCCUUGGGUUCGGAAUAACAGUGAGAAAUCACUGCUAAUACCGGAUGAUGUCUUCGGACCAAAGAUUUAUCGCCCAGGGAUGAGCCCGCGUAGGAUUAGGUAGUUGGUGGGGUAAAGGCCCACCAAGGCGACGAUCCUUAGCUGGUCUGAGAGGAUGAUCAGCCACACUGGGACUGAGACACGGCCCAGACUCCUACGGGAGGCAGCAGUGGGGAAUAUUGGACAAUGGCGCAAGCCUGAUCCAGCA
rnacentral:rRNA from 1 species